rnacentral:misc_RNA from 1 species
GUGAGAUAUUGGUAGAAAUCAUGAAUGGGAAGUUAAAGGAUACUAAUGAGGUUUCCGAUUUAAAGAAAAUCUUGCUUAGACCCCAUCAUAUACGUGAGAUAUAAUAUUUAUGAUGGAAUUUAUAUAUAAAAUAAGUAAAAUUAUUAAUUAUUUAUCUUGAAUUCAUAAUAAACAAACUUUAAAUUUUUUUUUAUUAGAAUCUAAAAGGGUAGAUUGAAUCUGCCUAUAUUCACAUUAUAAUAUAUAUUUUAAAAAAUAAAACUUUUUAUUGCUAAGUGUUAUAAUACAUUUUUAUGUAAAAAAAUUUAAUUAACUGCUCAAUUACUUACCUGUGAACCAUCUCCAUUAUUGCUAGUCUGGUCUUCCUAAAU